GCCGCCGUUACCAUGGAAACAGAACAAAUGUAAAAAAUAUUUUUUUGGUUUUUGGUGAAUAAUUUGAAUAUUCCUGAACUGAAAAUCAUCAAAUUUUUAUAUAUUGUUGGUGUCCACCAUAUACAGGUUUGAGAUGAUUUUGGGAAUCUUAGGAACUACUAUAUUGCCAUGGAAACUAAAUAUGUUUAGCAUUAAACCCUAUGGGGAAAAUCUUAAAGUAGUAUUUAAACUCUUAAUAUGGUAUAUCCAACCAUUAAAACUGUA
rnacentral:lncRNA from 1 species